GUGGGGAAUCUUAGACAAUGGGGGAAACCCUGAUCUAGCCAUGCCGCGUGAGCGAUGAAGGCCUUAGGGUUGUAAAGCUCUUUCACCGGAGAAGAUAAUGACGGUAUCCGGAGAAGAAGCCCCGGCUAACUUCGUGCCAGCAGCCGCGGUAAUACGAAGGGGGCUAGCGUUGUUCGGAAUUACUGGGCGUAAAGCGCACGUAGGCGGACAUUUAAGUCAGGGGUGAAAUCCCGGGGCUCAACCCCGGAACUGCCUUUGAUACUGGGUGUCUGGAGUAUGGAAGAGGUAAGUGGAAUUCCGAGUGUAGAGGUGAAAUUCGUAGAUAUUCGGAGGAACACCAGUGGCGAAGGCGGCUUACUGGUCCAUUACUAACGCUGAGGUGCGAAAGCGUGGGGAGCAAACAGGAUUAGAAACCCUUGUAGUCC
rnacentral:rRNA from 1 species